UUUACAAAUAAAAUUAAAAAAUCAAAUUAUUAAUGAGAAAUUUUGCAGUUUUCAAAUAAAAUAGCAAAUAAAAAGCUAAAAAUAAAAAAACAAAAAAAAAAGGCAAUUAAUUAUUUUCCAACUUGAAUUUUUAUUAAAAUAUUCACAAUUUCCGGCCACAAAGUGAAAUCUAAUACGGGUUCUAGGAGCCUGUACCACAGCAAAAGCAAGGAUUCAGAGUUAGGUGUAACAAUGCGUGAGAAAAAAGGAGGUGCAUUACAGAAGCUAAAGAAGAGGCUGAGUCAUAGUUUUGGUAGAUUAAGUAAGUGUGAUAAUUUUCUUAGACAUGAUUUUCAAAUAAAUUGGCGUAAGCUGGUACGUAAAUUUUAUGUAAAAAAUUAAAUUAUUAGAAAAUUACAUAAUUGGCAUCCAAUUGUUGUGCUAAUUAAUGUUUUA